rnacentral:rRNA from 2 species
ACGAUGAAGAAAAGAAUUGAAGCUUCGGCAGAAAUUCAUUUCGGAUUAGUGGCAGACGGGUGAGUAACGCGUGAGCAACCUACCUCUUACAAAGGGAUAGCCUCGGGAAACCGGGAUUAAUACCAUAUAACAUUGCGACGAAGCAUUUCGAUGCAAUCAAAGCUACGGCGGUAAGAGAUGGGCUCGCGUCCCAUUAACCGGAUGGUGAGAUAACGGCUCACCAUAGUGACGAUGGGUAACCGGCCUGAGAGGGUGAACGGUCACACUGGAACUGAGACACGGUCCAGACUCCUACGGGAGGCAGCAGUGGGGAAUAUUGCACAAUGGAGGGAACUCUGAUGCAGCGACGCCGCGUGAGUGAUGAAGGAAUUCGUUUCGUAAAACUCUGUUCUAUGGGAAGAAAAGGACUGUACCAUAGGAGAAAGCUCCGGCUAAAUACGUGCCAGCAGCCGCGGUAAUACGUAUGGAGCGAGCGUUGUCCGGAAUUAUUGGGCGUAAAGGGUGCGCAGGCGGCUUUACAAGUUGGAUGUGAAAUAUUGUGGCUCAACCACAAACGUGCAUCCAAAACUGCAAAGCUUGAGUUAAGGAGAGGUAAGUGGAAUUCCUGGUGUAGCGGUGGAAUGCGUAGAUAUCAGGAGGAAUACCGGUGGCGAAGGCGACUUACUGGACUUAAACUGACGCUCAGGCACGAAAGCGUGGGGAGCAA